rnacentral:rRNA from 1 species
GAUCCUGGCUCAGGACGAACGCUGGCGGCGUGCCUAACACAUGCAAGUCGAACGGAACUGUUUUGAAAGAUUUCUUCGGAAUGAAUUUGAUUUAGUUUAGUGGCGGACGGGUGAGUAACGCGUGAGUAACCUGCCUUCAAGAGGGGGGAUAACAUUCUGAAAAGGAUGCUAAUACCGCAUGAUAUAUCGGAACCACAUGGUUUUGAUAUCAAAGAUUUUAUCGCUUGAAGAUGGACUCGCGUCCGAUUAG